rnacentral:rRNA from 1 species
CCUACGGGUGACAGCAGUGGGGAAUAUUGCACAAUGGGGGAAACCCUGAUGCAGCGACGCCGCGUGAGUGAUGACGUAUUUCGGUAUGUAAAGCUCUAUCAGCAGGGAAGAUAAUGACGGUACCUGACUAAGAAGCUCCGGCGAAAUACGUGCCAGCAGCCGCGGUACUACGUAUGGAGCAAGCGUUAUCCGGUUUUAAUGGGUGGAAAGGGAGCGCAGACGGCAGGGCAAGUCUGAUGUGAAAUACCGGGGCCCAACCCCGGUACUGCAUUGGAAACUGUCCGGCUAGAGUGUAGGAGAGGUAAGUGGAAUUCCUAGUGUAGCGGUGAAAUGCGUAGAUAUUAGGAGGAACACCAGUGGCGAAGGCGGCUUACUGGACUGUAACUGACGUUGAGGCUCGAAAGCGUGGGGAGCAAACAGGAUUAGAUACCCGAGUAGUC